UCUUAGUGGUGUUUUGGGAUAUGGGGCUUCAUGUAUGUGCUUAAAUUGUCAUCCAAGAUUAGCCUGUGCAGACUGCACCUACAUUAAGUCAUAUUAAAUUGUCAUCCCAUAUUAGCCUGUGCAGACUGCACAUAUAUUAAGUCCUAUUAAAUUGUCAUCCAAGAUUAGCCUGUGCAGACUGCACAUACAUUAAGUCAUAUUAAAGUGUCAUCCCAUAUUAGCCUGUGCAGACUGCACAUACAUUAAGUCAUAUUAAAGUGUCAUCUCAGAUAAGCCUGUGCAGACUGCACAUGCAUUAAGACCUAUUAAAGUGUCAUCCCAGAUUAGCCUGUGCAGACUGCACAUACAUUAAGCCCUAUUUUCCCAGAAUGAGGCUCAUAUAGUUCACUUAACAUCAGUAUUUUAUGUGCCUGAUUGAAGAAAAUCUUCUAGCAUCAAAUGGUUAGUAUGUGUUUUUAAAAUUAAUCAACUUAAUAGAUAGAUAAAUAAAUAGCAAAUAGCAAUUGAUCUACCAUCAGGUUUAAUCAUAGAAGGUCUAGGCAUAGUUUUGUCUACAUUUCGGUCGAAAUUCAGCCCUUGAACCAAGCGUUUAUCCUUGCAUACAAAAUCCUCUGUAAUAGACUUGUUAAAUUUUAUUUAAUUUUAGCAAAACAAUUAUUUAAAUGACUUCAGCACAUUAUACAAUUAUUCCCUUCAAUAUUUAUUUAAGUUCCUGAAUUUUUUAUAACAGCCGGUUCCUACAGGAUCCCAUGCAGUCAUAGAUCGGUACACAGCUGAACAACAGGCCAUCUGGUAAGCUGGGCCCGGAAAGGUGCAGCCAGUCUAAAGCUGGGGCUCCAAACUGUCCUGCCAAGUUGGCUGAUAUUACCUCUUCUACAAGGGUCAUAUGUCAGUGAUGCGCAAAGAGAUGGUUUUCUGUUCACAGAGAAAUAUUCUAACAACUCCAACUCAGCCACUACAUCUUAAUAGACAACCCGAAUAUCAAGGCGUUAAGUUUCUUCUGGAUGCAGUUACAGACACAGCUUUCAAGCCAGCAGCUGUCGAUGUAUUGAGAUUCUCUCCUCUCCAUGUUACCUGACCUGCUGCCUGUGAACAUUCUGCACAUAGAACCUUUAUCACAAUCAAUGUAAUUAAACCUGCCAAUCAAAAAGAUAGCCUGGUAUAGCACUUGUCAUUGGAUUGAUGCCAUGCGUGCCUUUGAAGAUCAUUUAUACAUACAAUUUAAGCAUGAUAGUCAAUAAGUGCCUGCGUUGGCUUCUUGAAAGACUCGCAGUCCUGAGCAUUUACGAUGGAAUUCCUCAUCUUGAAAUAUUGGGAAGGCAGGAAAACGCCUGUCACUGUUAAGACAAAAAUAAGGGAAUGACAAAGAACAAUAAGACCAGCCAAGUCCUGUGAUCAGCCAAGUUUUAGGAUCAGCUUAGUUCUGUGGCCACCCAAGUCAUGCGACACGCCAAGUGUUUUUACCAGCCAUGUCCUAUGACCAGCAGCUUUGUCUCGUGUGUACAGUCUGAUUGUAUGAGAAGAAAAAUCUACAUUUCAUAUUGUAUAGGUAUAAUGAUACUGACAGUAUCUUGAUGAUUAAGUAUUUUGUUAUAUAUUGGUGAAUAGACCAAUAUGAUUAGGGGAAACUUAGUAAUAGCAGUAAUGUAAAGUUUUAUUUCAAGAGCAAAAUAAUGCAAGUACUACUAUUUUGUCUAGAUUCAGAAACUGACUUUAUAUAGCUUUAUCCUGAUUAUCUUAAACAGACAGACAAAAUGAUUUUUCAAGUGUUUUUUUUUAUAACAUUGAUUUAAGCCUUCACAAAGUUGUUAAAUAAUGCUGAUACCUUGGACAAAAUUUAAUGUAUUUAUUGAAUAAACAAGACAUGCUUAUUUUUAGUUUUUACCUAUAAAAUAGCAAUAUGUGCUAGGUAAAAUAAUUGAUCAGAACGGUUCAUAAUUGUGAUGCUUCUAUUUUGAUAUGUCUGUCAUUCUGUCUGUGUACAUGUAUUAUGAGUUUCUUCUUUUGAGGCAGUAUUUUAUCAAGAAUUUCAUGUAGUGAUGUUAUAGUAAAAUAUCAAAUAAUAAUUUGAUUUAUUCAAACUAUAUUAACCUUCUGUUAAUUAUCAAUUUAUUUAUUGACAACAGAGACUUUGUUUAAUAUUAACAAUAGUUAAGCGCGUUAUAAAUUGUUUGAAUGUACAUGCAUAAUAUUGCGAUAAUAAAUGCACACAUUAAUUGAAAAACUAUUUAAAUAAAGUGGAAUUUAGAAGUGCAUCUUAAUUGGAAUGGAGUUUGUUUAAUUAUUAAAAAAGUAUAUUUUCAUUGUUGAAAAUAUGAUAGUAAUUCCAACACAAGUAAUUUUGUUUCAAAGUGAGUAUUUUCAUGAAUAAUGAUCCUAGAUAUGGUUGUAGAUUGUUCUUGUUGUAUCAUAUACUGACCGGCUCAUCAUUUGUGUUGACAUUUGCAUGCUAGCAUUAAAGUUCAUUAUGCUUUAAAUAUUUGUAUGUACACAUUUGCGACCAGCUUUUCUAAAUUGUAAUAAGUGAAUAAUGUAACACAGAUUUAUGUGUCACUGUAUAUAAGUUUAUUUUGUCAUUUGUAAAAAGAUCAACUGCAAAGCUAAUGUUUUUGUUUGUACAUUAUUCAUAAAAUGUUGCCAUUUCAAACAGAUACAUUCACUGUUUGAAUUCAUUUGUACAAAAUUGUUUCAUAUUAAACAUCAUUUACAUAUCAGGCAAUAGAGAAAAAUAAUUGCUUUGGAUAAAUGAGCACAUUAACCUGUACCUGUAUAGUAAAUUAAGAAAUGCAGAAUAUCAGAUCAUUAACAUAAUAAUAUACUUUAAGCAUUAGAAACACCUUGUUUUAUGUCAAGCUUUUCAGUUAAUAUAAUUAAGCAACUAUAAUCUGGAAAUGUGGAAAACAGUGAAAAACGAUUCAAGGGAGAGCAACUGUGAUAUACUAAAUAAAAGUCGUCUCCCUUGUUAGAGCAUAAUUGUAUCUCUCAACGUAACAAGAACAUUGAAUCUUUUUUUUUUAACUAUUCCACACUAUAAACUAUAUACUAUAUUCAUUCAAUAAUCACUAAAGAAAUAUGGUUUGCAUAAUUGUUUAUUUCUAUGUGUUAUACCAAAUUCACCAGUAUGGCAUCAAUUUAAGUUCAUAAUAUUUUAAUUGCCAAAAUUGGCCAUACAGUGCUAAAAGUUUGGUAUUCUGACUAUUAUAAGUGCAUGUUCUUAUACAAUAUCACAUUGUUUUUUUUCACACUGAGGCCAUAUGUGUUAAUAUAUUAAUUUUUAUUUAUUGACUUGUUGUUGCUUGUUAAGGUGUCUUAUUUUGAAUUAUAGCUGUUAAUUGAUUGUGACUAUUUCCAGUGUUAAAUGAUUGCUUUUAGGUUCUUGUUUACAAGUUUUGUAAAAGCUGUUUUCAUGUUGACCGCUCCACAUUAAAUGUCGUUGACGCGCAUUCACUGCGGCCAGGUUCCGUAAAACUUCCAACAAAUCUGAUGUCUUAUGAUUGGAUUCCAUACACACGUGGUUGUUUAUACUCAGCUUGCUUUGCAUUAAACAUGUCUGCUUUGUUGUUGAACAAUUAUACACAGCUUUUUAUUGGACAAAAUUGUGUAAUAUUUCAAAUUUUUGCUUUCUCUUUUUUAUUUCCAACAAAAAUAUAUUUAUUUUUUUUUAUGUACAUUUAGCUAUAAUAAAAUUGUUUCUAUAAUAUAUAAACAAUCUAUUAUAAGCAUUAAACUAUAUUGGUAAAAGUAGAUUUAAGGUUCAAAAUCAUGUCUUAAUUUGUUCGAUUAUCCCAAAUUAACAUUUUGCAAAAGCAAAACUUGUUGAAUAAGAAAAACUUUAUGCAACGUACCACCAGGUCUUUUAACCAUUGAUUGUGUAUCACUAAUGAUCAGGACUUACUAGUAAUCAGGGAUUAAUAUUUGCCUAUGCACGGUUAUAAUGUUUGUGUUUUUGAAUUGAAUCAUUUCUGUAGUUUGGUGAACAUUAAUUGUUGUUGUUUUUUAAAAACAGCACAUGUCAAAUUAUAUAGUAUCAUUGUAGUUUUGGUAUGUUUAGGGAUAUAAUCAUGUUAAUGUAUGUGAUUUGCUGAUCCAUCUCUUGUUGUUUCACUCCAUUUAAUGUAUAUAGCCAUGCUUAGAGCAGGAAUAUUGUUGUACUGUGAAAAAUGUUGUUAUAGCAAAUAAAAAAUGUAUGUUAA